rnacentral:piRNA from 1 species
UACCAGACUGAUGGUAAAGCCAAAAGAUAC